rnacentral:misc_RNA from 1 species
GAUGAAGAACGUAGCGAAAUGCGAUAAGUAAUGUGAAUUGCAGAAUUCCGUGAAUCAUCGAAUCUUUGAACGCACAUUGCGCCCGCCAGUAUUCUGGCGGGCAUGCCUGUUCGAGCGUCAUUUCAACCAUCAAGCCCCCGGGCUUGCGUUGGGGCCCUGCGGCUGCCGCAGACCCCUAAAACCAGUGGCGGGCUCGCUGUCACACCGAGCGCAGUAGCAAUAUCUCGCUCUGGGCGUGGCGCGGGUGCUUGCCGUAAAACACACCACUUAACAAGGUUGACCUCGGAUCAGGUAGGAAUACCCGCUGAACUUAAGCAUACAAUAAGCGGAGGA